CCAUAUAGUCCAGUUACUCUUUUCACAUAGCCUGAAGUUGCUACUUAGGGUUGACGUUCGACAUUGAUGCAUGAAUGAAUUGUUUUAGAUUAUUAUUAUUUUUAAAUCCCUAGAGUCCAGUAACUUUCACACAGCAGCAGUUACUUAUUGUUGACCUUAGACAUGUGUAUAUAUGCAGGAAGUGUAGCUUAAAUCAUGCACAGUUACAGAUGAGGAACAAGGAAAUAAAGAGAAAUUCCCAGACCCAGAGGAAAAUCAAAAGGUGAUCAACAAAAUUGGUGUAAAUUUCACACUGCUGUGAACUGAGGUUUUGGCUUUGAGAACUGAAUUCCAAGGGUGUUCGAUUUGCAUUCAACCCACGGAGUUCAGUUCUUAAGCUUGGAUGCUCCAAACAACAUGGAUGGAUACAAAACAGCUGCAGAGAAACCACCAGCAUCGUGUUGCUAAACACACUGAAGGUGAGGAUUCAACUGGUGUUGUGCUGUUCAAGUCUUGGGCAUGUAUAACAUACAGAAUUAUUCACGAAGUCCUGAAGAGGUUUGGGUUAUUAUGCAUUUUCUCAAAUGCUCAGUUACUAUAUAAAUGUCGUAGAUAAAAUAUAUGUAUGCCUAUCAUUUAAUAUUCAUUACGCCUUUGUGUCGGGUAGAGAAGAAUACAACUAGGACAUAGCACAACUAGCACUUACCUCGAUGUAACAUAUAAGACAUACAUAUAACACAUCUCUACACUUUAAAUGUUUAAAUAUUUUUAUUAUUUUUUUUAAAUAGACCAAAUGAAAAGGCCACAAAUGGUGUUUAUUAACCAAAUGAUUGACGAGGGUUAUGACAGAUUUUUUUCAUGAGCAGGGUUUAAUAAUAUGUGAACACUUUUAUAUAAACAAACAUGUCUUUAUCUUUUGCAAUAAAAAAAAAGAAAGCUAAAUGAAGAGACAACUAUAAGCUGCACAUACUUUAUGCAGCUGCGGAUUUUGAAUAUUAAUAAAGGAAAUGGAACUUUCAUGAUGUAUCAGUGCAUGACUAUGACUAAUUGGUAUUUAUGAAACAUUGGUAUUUAUAAAUGAGCAUUAUAUGGUUUUAAUAAGGCCUAGGAAGUAUAUGUAAUGUAUAGGUUACCUUGUCCUGAUUUAUUUGACCGAUUUAUAGUAACUUAUUUACUCAGUGUGUUUAACAUUUUUCUCAGUUUUAUACACUGUAUAGAAUAAGUGUAAUCAUAUUAAUGGUUAAGUAUAGUAAAUUAUUAUUGUUUUUUUUGUUGUUGUUGUUCUUUUUUAAUUGUAAAUAAAGUUGUGUAAGAAAUUUGUCUUCAUCUGAUUUCACACCAUAUAGUGCCACAAAGGGGUCGCACAUGCAGGAUGUUUCAAG
ensembl:lncRNA